rnacentral:rRNA from 1 species
AUUGAACGCUGGCGGCAGGCCUAACACAUGCAAGUCGAGCGAGUGGCGGACGGGCGAAUAAUGUCUGGGAAACUGCCUGAUGGAGGGGGAUAACUACUGGAAACGGUAGCUAAUACCGCAUUCCCUCAGAUGUGCCCAGAUGGGAGUAGCGGGGAUGUGGGGUAACGGCUCACCUAGGCGACGAUCCCUAGCGGGUCUGAGAGGAUGACCAGCCACUCUGGAACUGACACACGGUCCAGACUCCUACGGUAGGCAGCAGUGGUGAAUAUUGCACAAUGGGCGCAAGCCUGAUGGAGCCAUGCCGCGUGUGUGAAGAAGGCCUUCGGGUUGUAAAGCACUUUCAGCGGGGAGGCUUUACCCGCAGAAGAAUCACCGGCUAACUCCGUGCCAGCAGCCGCGGUAAUAC